CUGCAGGGAGACUGAGAGUAGAUUCAUGUAGUAGCUUGCAGAGAAGACUGCAGGAACAAGAAAUUUAUUAGUGGUGAUGGCAGAAUACAUGCUUUGAUCAGUACAUCUCAUUCUGAAAAAUGUAGGAACUUCAUUAUUUUAGAGAAUGGGAGGCUUGUGAUUUCUUCAAUCCAACUGAUAAUUCCUGUCAGUGCAGCAUGUAGAUGACUGUUAACCCAAAGCUUGUGAAAGUACAUGGAACCACCCCUUGGCAAGAUCCACAGUCUGGAGAAAAAAAAAUCAGAAACAAAAGAAGUGAGAAAGCACCAAGAGGAAUCUGCUUCCAACUCUGAUGGCAGCUCUGAUAUGUGGACAGACAAUUAGGUGCUAAAGAGAAAAACAAAGCACAUCAUGAAGAAAAUGCUAUACCAUGGAUGCUUCCUCAAAGAUAAUGUUGAAUAUUUACAAAUCUGCAUUUAUGUAUGACUGUG
rnacentral:lncRNA from 1 species